rnacentral:rRNA from 1 species
UGGGGGAUAGCCCGGCGAAAGCUGGGGUAAGCCCGCAUGGUCUUAUGGAGGUGGCAUCAUCUUAUAAGUAAAACAGCGAUGUGGUUUGGGAGGGAUUUGCGUCUGAUUAGCUAGUUGGGGGGGUAGUGGCCCACCAAGGCGAUGAUCAGUAGGGGCUCUGAGAGGAGGGUCCCCCACAUGGGCACUGAGACACGGGCCCAACUCCUACGGGAGGCAGCAGUAGGGAAUAUUGGGCAAUGGACGCAAGUCUGACCCAGCCAUGCCGCGUGCAGGAAGACGGCCCUCUGGGUUGUAAACUGCUUUUAUCAGGGAAGAAGAGUGGGCAUGCGUGCCCAUGUGACGGUACCUGAGGAAUAAGCACCGGCUAACUCCGUGCCAGCAGCCGCGGUAAUACGGAGGGUGCAAGCGUUGUCCGGAUUUAUUGGGUUUAAAGGGUGCGUAGGUGGCCUUUUAAGUCAGCUUUGAAAGCUGGUCGCUUAACGAUCAGGGGUGGGUUGAUACUGGAAGGCUUGGAUCAGGUGGCGGUUUCUGGAACGGGUCGUGUAGCGGUGAAAUGCAUAGAUAUGACCCAGA